GGUGCCCAUGACUUGGCAAACAAAACACACAUUUUUUUUUUUUUUUGUUAUUCAGGCGGGUUUUCUGAUCUGUAAUAUUUUCCUCCUCUCUCAACAUUGCACUUUCUUCUCUCUAGAUGAAGUUCAUUUACCAGGAAAAGCUUGGUUCCCACAUCCCUUGGCCUUUUGCAGCCAGCCUCCACUCCAACCUCCAGCAGCUGCUGGAAGUUUCCAGAAGCCAUUGGAAGUUUCUGGAAGCUUCUGGAAGCCACUUGGCCACUGCCCAGCAGACCCAAAUGACCUGCAUCCUGAAAUUCAAGAGGGUGGGGUGCCUGCAGGCUGUGCUGAGUGGCAGAGGGUUGAGGACAAAGCACAGAGACCAUGCCAGGAGGGUUACGACCUGCCCACACGACAGGUAUAACUCAGUGCUGGUUAGUGUCGGUAUCAAUGCUGAUAACGCUUUCAGAUGAACAGGAGACUACCAGGAACUACAUAUAAUUAGACACAGGCCAAGCAAAACCUAACAGCAUAAAAUCCUUCAGGGCCAGACAAAGAAACAGCUGCUCUCCUGAAACCCCAGAAGUGCAAUUGAGCUCCGAUUCACUCUCAGCAUCCAGCCUGUAAUUUUAUUCCUGGACCUUGUUCAUUUUAACUACCAUGAAUGCCACCUCUCUGUGAAGCUGCACUGAGGAAGGUGACAAAUGUGACUCCGGGCAGCUGUGUCAGAGAGGUUUCCCCAACAGGAGGUGCCAGCCCCUCCUCUCUGGUGUUCCCAUCCUGAAAGAACCACAGAUGGAUAAUCCUUGCACAUUGCCCACACAUGUUGCCAUCCAGAAGCUCCUCCAGUGCAAACCCAUGGGACAAAGCACCAACAAGGAAUGGCCCCCAGGAAUCCUUUUUUCAGCUGCAGUCAGAAACAUCCACCUUGCCAGACACAGAGGCAGGGAGUCCAACACGGACAACUUCCAGCCUUUUAACACAGGAUAUUUAACUUUCUUGAUUGUUUUAAGACUUUUACAGACAAAGGAAGGUCCACUCUGUUUAGGAGCAGCCAACAGUGGCUGCUAAUUAGCACUGUGAGGAAGAAUAUUCUUCUCUUAUGCCAGGAUUGGGAUAAUGUGUAUUACAAGCAAAAAGGGCACAUUAAAUAACUGAGAUGAGAAAUGACUAUAGAGUAGGAAGGUCUUACACAAGCAGAGCAAGAGUUGAGCCAAGACCAGAUCUGACUCCCAGAAAACCCUUUAAGCAAUAAAUAUCAGCAAAGUAGUCUCCUUUUUUUUUUUUAAUAGCAGAUAAUGGACUGAAUGCCUUACAGUCAUACAGAGCAUUCAAGAGCUGUUGCAAUAAAGUGACAGAGAGGAGGCCCUUGCUGUUAUGUUAUUAGAGACGUUUUAAAUCUCACCUACCAUGGGAUUACUGGGUUUGCAUCUCCCAUCAGUCUUGCUUAGGCUGACAGGCAAGCACAGCAAGCCCAGCUCCCACCAGCAGCUGUGCCUGUUAGCUGCCAGCCCCCACAGAGACAGCUCUCUGAGCCGCAUUUUUAAGCAAGGAGAAACCAUGGUGUUCAAUGGGAAGAAGGGCUGUGGAGAAGACUUGCAGAAGGAAGCAGCAGGUAGAGGAGCAGAUUGGGGCCAACAUCUUUGUGACAGGCUGAUUUGCAGAGAGAAGGAUUCAGCCAAGUUUCAAAGCUUCCCUGACAGCAUUUCUGUAGUCUGCAGUGCGCUCAGAGGAGAACCUUCACCCGCUGCAUGGGGACUUGUCGCUGAUCUGAAGCUACCUCUGCUGAAUAUCAGGGAAAUCAUAAGUGCUGGUCUGUGCUGCUUCUCGCACCUUCCUCCCCUGGAGGCAAAUGAAGCCCAUCAACACGGAGCUUCCAGCAAGGUGCCACGCUUCACUUUUUAUUGCACUCUUCAUGGAGACUGGAGAGCAAAAUCACCAGCAGGUUUCUACCUUUGUGGUAUUACUGCUCCAGGAGAGACAUUGGCUUGCCUCUUGCAAACGCUGCACCUGUUGGAAUGCUACACGGUCAGAAAAGACACCCACCAUGCCUGAAUGGAUAUUGCUGGGGCUUGCUGCCACUUCAUCACAGAGCAAGGACUGAAAUUUGACAUAUUGCAAGCUGAAGGAAAAGCUCUCUGGGCAAAGCAGUCCAGGGGAAGGGAGAGAAGAAGAGAUGUUGAAAGCCUGAGGCUGUGGUGGAAGCACUGUUAGCUCCAAUGAACCGUAAUUGAAGAGGGAAGAGAGGAGCAAACAGAGAUGCUGGGUACAAAUCCCCUCCCACGCACCCCAUCGAAACUUUUAUCCUACACAAAGCCACAUUGUGUGGCUUUUGUGUAAGCCAAAGCUUACAUUGCUCCUUUCUGUGAUCUCCUGCUGGUUAUGAACUGUAGUGUUUGGCCUGGGGUUACUUUCAAACCUUUUUUUUUUCCUUCACACUUCCUCAGCCCAAGGAGCCAGACUUCCUUCCACCCCAGACCCCACCAUACAUCUCCAGACCUUCUCCCCUUCCAGCAGCUGCCUCUCCUUUUUUAUUUUAUUCUUAGACCUACCCCACAGCUGUCUUUGAAUACCAACCUCAGGGCCUAGUGUCAGCACCCUUUGCUGUCACCAUUGCUGCU